rnacentral:ncRNA from 1 species
GGGGAUGACCUGUGUUAGGGGUGAAAGGCCAAUCAAACUCCGUGAUAGCUGGUUCUCCCCCGAAAUGCAUUUAGGUGCAGCGUCGUGUGUUUCUUGCCGGAGGUAGAGCACUGGAUAGGCGAUGGGCCCUACCGGGUUACUGACCUUAGCCAAACUCCGAACUGCCGGUAAGUGAGAGCGCGGCAGUGAGACUGUGGGGGAUAAGCUCCAUGGUCGAGAGGGAAACAGCCCAGAGCAUCGACUAAGGCCCCUAAGCGUACGCUAA